rnacentral:rRNA from 1 species
UUGUUGGUAAGGUAAAAGCUUACCAAGGCUUCGAUCAGUAGCUGGUCUGAGAGGACGACCAGCCACACUGGGACUGAGACACGGCCCAGACUCCUACGGGAGGCAGCAGUGGGGAAUUUUGGACAAUGGGGGCAACCCUGAUCCAGCCAUGCCGCGUGAGUGAAGAAGGCCUUCGGGUUGUAAAGCUCUUUCAGCCGGAACGAAACGGUUACGGAUAAUACCCGUGACUACUGACGGUACCGGAAGAAGAAGCACCGGCUAACUACGUGCCAGCAGCCGCGGUAAUACGUAGGGUGCAAGCGUUAAUCGGAAUUACUGGGCGUAAAGCGUGCGCAGGUGGUUUUGUAAGUCAGAUGUGAAAGCCCCGGGCUCAACCUGGGAACUGCGUUUGAAACUACAAGACUAGAGUGUGGCAGAGGGGAGUGGAAUUCCGCGUGUAGCAGUGAAAUGCGUAGAGAUGUGGAGGAACACCGAUGGCGAAGGCAGCCCCCUGGGUUAACACUGACACUCAGGCACGAAAGCAUGGGGAGCAAACAGGAUUAGAUACCCUGGUAGUCCAUGCCCUAAACGAUGUCAACUAGUUGUCGGGCCUUUACGGGCUUGGUAACGUAGCUAACGCGUGAAGUUGACCGCCUGGGGAGUACGAUCGCAAGAUUAAAACUCAAAUGAAUUGACGGGGACCCGCACAAGCGGUGGAUUAUGUGGAUUAAUUCGAUGCAACGCGAAAAACCUUACCUACCCUUGACAUGUAUCGAAGCCCGCAGAAAAGCGGGGGUGCCCGAAAGGGAACGAUAACACAGGUGCUGCAUGGCUGUCGUCAGCUCGUGUCGUGAGAUGUUGGGUUAAGUCCCGCAACGAGCGCAACCCUUGUCAUUAAUUGCCAUCAUUUAGUUGGGCACUUUAAUGAGACUGCCGG